UGCGGGAUCGUCUAAUGGUAGGACGUCUGGCUCUGAACCAGAAAAUCGAGGUUCGAUUCCUUGUCCCGCAG
rnacentral:tRNA from 1 species